UCUCUCUCUCUCUCUCUCUCUCUCUCUCUCUCUGUCUCACACACACACACACACAGAGAGAGAGAGAGAGAGAGAGAGAGAGAGAGAGAGAGA
rnacentral:miRNA from 1 species